rnacentral:rRNA from 1 species
GACGAACGCUGGCGGCGUGCUUAACACAUGCAAGUCGAACGGAAAGGCCCUGCUUUUGUGGGGUGCUCGAGUGGCGAACGGGUGAGUAACACGUGAGUAACCUGCCCUUGACUUUGGGAUAACUUCAGGAAACUGGGGCUAAUACCGGAUAUGAUCUCCUGCUGCAUGGUGGGGGUUGGAAAGUUUCGGCGGUUGGGGAUGGACUCGCGGCUUAUCAGCUUGUUGGUGGGGUAGUGGCUUACCAAGGCUUUGACGGGUAGCCGGCCUGAGAGGGUGACCGGCCACAUUGGGACUGAGAUACGGCCCAGACUCCUACGGGAGGCAGCAGUGGGGAAUAUUGCACAAUGGGCGGAAGCCUGAUGAAGCAACGCCGCGUGCGGGAUGACGGCCUUCGGGUUGUAAACCGCUUUCGCCUGUGACGAAGCGUGAGUGACGGUAAUGGGUAAAGAAGCACCGGCUAACUACGUG